AGGUAUUUUAUUGAAAGUAAAAAGGUUGCCUAAAUGAUCCAAACAGUCAGUUAUUAGAGAAAGUGUUUGGAUGAUUUUUUCUUUCAGAUAAAUAGAAAUACCUCACAAAUUUUUUCUCCAUAAAUACAACUCAAUUAGAAGAAAUGAAAUGUGGAGAUGCUCUUUUUCUCUUUUCAGGUAAAGAGACAUCAGAGGAAUGUGACACCAAUAAGAUUUCACUGACUUUUAGGUGAUAUCAUAAUGCCUUUUUUUUCUUUAAAAAAAAAAAAAAAAAGCUGCAAGAAGAAAAACUAUGCUCCUAAUCUGUUAUUCAUGAAUUGAAUCCAAAAAUAACAGACAUUGUAGUAACCCCUUGAGAACAGGUACAAUCAUUUGCUAUGCAUUUAUUAAUUGUUAAUAGGGUGGUGGAAUACCAAGCAUAUGGACCCCAGCUGAGAUCAAGUUCCCACUGUUCAGCGUGUUGCAGAAUCAAAACAAAAGGAAACCUAUGAGGGACACACAGACCACACCAUCAAUCAAGGUCACAGCAUUCGCAGGGGAAAAGGACAUG
rnacentral:lncRNA from 1 species